rnacentral:rRNA from 1 species
GACGAACGCUGGCGGCGUGCUUAACACAUGCAAGUCGAACGGAAAGGCCCUGCUUUUGUGGGGUGCUCGAGUGGCGAACGGGUGAGUAACACGUGAGUAACCUGCCCUUGACUUUGGGAUAACUUCAGGAAACUGGGGCUAAUACCGGAUAGGAGCUCCUGCUGCAUGGUGGGGGUUGGAAAGUUUCGGCGGUUGGGGAUGGACUCGCGGCUUAUCAGCUUGUUGGUGGGGUAGUGGCUUACCAAGGCUUUGACGGGUAGCCGGCCUGAGAGGGUGACCGGCCUGAGGGACACUGAGAGGCGGCACAGACUGGGAGAGGGGGCAGAGGUGGGGAGUAAUGACGGCGGAGAGGAGGACGGAUGGCGCAGGGCGGGUGGGGGGAGGACGGCCGGCGGCAGGCAGCCCGAUCGCGAGUGGGAGGGGGGGGGAGUGAGGAUAGUGGAAAAAGAACCCGUGUCUAAGUACGUGGCAGCAGCCGAAGUAAAGAGUGGAACGACCCCCCUCUAAC